rnacentral:rRNA from 1 species
GACGAACGCUGGCGGCGCGCCUAACACAUGCAAGUCGAGCGGAGAUACUUGAAGGAAGUUUUCGGAUGGAAUUUGAGUAUUUUAGCGGCGGACGGGUGAGUAACGCGUGAGUGACCUGCCUUCCACAGGGGGAUAACGUACCGAAAGGUACACUAAUACCGCAUGAGACCACAGCACUGCCUGGUGCAGGGGUCAAAGGAGCAAUCCGGUGGAAGAUGGACUCGCGUCCGAUUAGAUAGUUGGUGGGGUAACGGCCUACCAAGUCAGCGAUCGGUAGCCGACCUGAGAGGGUGAUCGGCCACAUUGGAACUGGGAGACGGUCCAAACUCCUACGGGAGGCAGCAGUGGGGAAUAUGGGGCAAUGGGGGAAACCCUGACCCAGCGACGCCGCGUGAGGGAAGAAGGUUUUCGGAUUGUAAACCUCUGUUCUUGGUGAAGAGGGAAAGACGGUAGCCAAGGAGGAAGCCCCGGCUAACUACGUGCCAGCCGCCGCAGUAA